GCUGGGAUAGCUCAGUUGGUAGAGCAGGAGACUCUUAAUCUCAAGGUCGUGAGUUUGAGCCCCACAUUGGGCA